CCUCAAAGCUUGUAUCAUUACUAUCACUCUAAAUGGCUAUCAUGAUUUUUUUUUAUACUUUUUUAGAUUUUUUUUAAGUAGAAAGCAAUCGAUCUUGAAAUAUUCGGACUUCUUACAUUCAUAGCAAAAGAUUAGCUGCUCCUUUUUCUUCUCUUUGCUUGCUUCCCGCUUGAUUGAGCUGUUCAUCUUGAACCUUUAUCUCUUUCUCCUCAUUAGUCUUCUGAAUUUUCUAGUAAUCAUAGCCAUUUCAUCUUCAUUAGUGGACUCGUCC
rnacentral:lncRNA from 1 species